UUUCGAUUAAUUUCCAUCGAUUUCAACUUAAUGUAAUAAAUUAAAAGCAAAUUAUUACAAAAUUUCUUAAUCAUUUUGAGUGAUUUAUUUUAUUUUUUAAGGGUUGGCAAUAAAUGUUACUAAAACCUAAAAAUGACAGCGUCUCUUGAAAAAGGGGUUGGCAGUAAAUGUUACUAAAACCUAAAAAUGACAGCGUCUCUUGAAAAAGGGGUUGGCAAUAAAUGUUACUAAAACCUAAAAAUGACAGCGUCUUUU